rnacentral:rRNA from 1 species
CCUACGGGAGGCAGCAGUGGGGAAUAUUGGGCAAUGGGCGAAAGCCUGACGCAGCGACGCCGCGUGAGGGAUGAAGGUCUUCGGAUCGUAAACCUCUGUCAGCAGGGAAGAACGGUCACUGUGCUAAUCAGCAGUGAAUUGACGGUACCUGCAAAGGAAGCACCGGCUAACGCCGUGCCAGCAGCCGCGGUAAUACGGAGGGUGCGAGCGUUAAUCGGAAUUACUGGGCGUAAAGCGCUCGUAGGCGGUAUGUCAAGUCAAGGGUGAAAUCCCCGCGCUCAACGUGGGAACUGCCUUUGAAACGGGCAAACUGGAGUGUGUGAGAGGAGAGUGGAAUUCCAGGUGUAGGAGUGAAAUGCGUAGAUAUCUGGAGGAACAUCAGUGGCGAAGGCGACUAUCUGGCACAUAACUGACGCUGAGGAGCGAAAGCGUGGGUAGCAAACAGGAUUAGAUACCCCUGUAGUC